UUCGUCUUUCUUUGACUCUUUUAUGAUUUUCCAUUUUUCAGUUUAUACUGAAGUUAUUUCAUUAUUGUCAAUAGAAGUUAUUUUGCUUUAGUGGUGUAGCUUCUCCUCCCCUGGAUUGAAAAAUAAGUAUUAUGAAAAGAACUGGUGUGUUUACAUCUCAAACUUCCUCAAAUUAGUUGAUAAAAAACCCUUUUAUUUUUUUUUGGCUAGAGUGGUGUUGCUUCUCCUGUUGUAGUUCCUCAUUGUGUUUUUGCCUGGAAGGGAAUGGUUUGUUGCUGCUGGGUUGGCUCCUCCCGGCCUUGAGUUUUUCAGUGUCUAUAACAUUCUUUUUGUAGUGUGUUUGUUUUUGUAAGUUGCCUUUCUCUGUAUUUUUUUGGCUUAGUGUUCGUUCCAUUUAUUGUGGCUUAUUUGAUGGACAAGAUAUUGCAGGUGAAUUUUGUUUUUUUUUUUUUUCCACUGUUGUUAACAACCCAAUCUUUGAUUUGAAUCCUAUGUGAUCAUAAUGUUUAAUUAUAGGCGAUUGUCUUGAAUUUACUUGACUUGGGUAAUAUCAUUUCACUAGUUUGUUACUUGCAUUAAUCGCACAAUAUUCAUUAAUAUUACUACUUAGAUUAAUUUAGUUAAUUAUGUAAUGUUUAAUUUGUACAUAUACAUGAACUUCAAGGGAUUAGUUUUUCAUGUCUUAUUCAUUUUAGGCUAGUGUUAGAGAAUGUUUCUUGAGUUCAUUAGAGGAGGACAUUAUUCCAUCACUGUCCAUUGCUAGGAGUAAUUGGCUGGAGCUACUGUCAAAGCCUAUCUCUAAGAAAUAUUACAUUGAUUAUGUUAAAAUGGCGUAAUGGCUUAUGAAUGCAGGAGACACUUGACUUACAAGCCUGCCAAUUGCAUCUAACCUUUGUGUAGGUUGGCAUUGUUCAUGCUAUCAAUAAGCUUCAUAGUGAUCCACCGGGUUUGAACUUAGCUGUAUCCCUUCACGCACCAGUUCGAGAGUUUGCUGCCAGAUAAUGCCUGCAGCUCGAGCUUUUCCUCUGGAAAAUCUUAUGAAUGCACUUCAUGUAUAUCAAAAGAAUAAGUUGCAAUUGAUUCACAAAUGUUUCUUGAAAAUUAAUUUGCAAUUCUCUCUCUGUGACUCUCCCCCUGUCUUUUUGUGAAAUAUUUCAGAUUUUAGCUCAUUUUUUAAUCUUAAACUUUCAGUCAGCAGAAAAUAUUUAUUGAGUACAUCAUGGUGGAUAAGGUGAAUGAUGAAGAGCCACAUGCUCACCAGCUUGGCAAACUGCUAGGGACAUAUCAAGUGGUUGAAUGAAUUUUUUUAAUUGCUUCCUUGGACUUGAAGAAGAUGACCCCAAGGAUGAAGUAGUUUCUAGAACUGGUGAAUCUGACAUAGAAUAGUGCACAUCAUGCGCCACAUUUUUCACCUCUCUGUUGUGAUUGGCCUCAGGUUGAGACUCCAAAUCAUUGUCACUAUCAAGAUUCAGUAAGCAAUCCAUGGUGGUGUCAGAAAGCCUUCUUGGAAAUAGCACAGAGCGAUUGAGAACAUCAACAAACCAAGUUCUGAUUUUGCAUCAUCAAGAAGCAAUCCCAUAGAGGCUGCUGUUUCAGGCUUGUUGAAGAAAAGAAACAAACAAAUCAGUGUAGAAGAUAAAGAAGUUGACGCUGAUGUUAUCCGGUCAUAUUCUUUGAGACAAGAGAAUCAAGGUCUUCAUUAGCAAGCUGGUAUUUUAUUGAGAAGCUUCGGCCAUGGAGAAGAGAGAGAGGUGGGUGCAAAGAGAGGAUCGUGAUGAGUGGCGGUGAACCACCACAAGACUGUUAGCCCAAAUGUGGUUUGCUGCGAGUUUAGAAGGAGAAUUUUAGAUAGGCGGUGUGCAUGUUUUUUGAUUCUUAGAGAGGCGGCUGCAACUUGUAUAAGGCUGGAGCAAAAUUGUGGAAUCUUUUGGAGGUAGAUUUCUAGAGAGAUAGACGGUGCAUUUACUCAACAGAGAUGUGUGUUUCUGACUAUGUAGCUGAGGGAUUUGUCGUGGGGGCCGGGGAUAAUAUGAUCGCCAAAGCUGCACAUUAGUAGGAGUUUGGCACCAGGGACUGGUGGCAAAGGGUCAUCCCUUGCCUGCCCUUUGCCAUCUCUAGUUCCACUCUGCUCACAUAAUCUGCCUUUUUGGAAGACUGAUGAUAACUGCUAGAGAAGCUUGGAGGGCAUGUUGCCUGCAAAUUAUAUCCUAAUAACUGCAAGA